rnacentral:rRNA from 1 species
UAGAAAUCUGCCCGGUAGUGGGGGAUAACCUGGGGAAACCCAGGCUAAUACCGCAUACGUCCUACGGGAGAAAGCAGGGGAUCUUCGGACCUUGCGCUAUCGGAUGAGUCUAUGUCGGAUUAGCUUGUUGGUGAGGUAAUGGCUCACCAAGGCGACGAUCCGUAGCUGGUCUGAGAGGAUGAUCAGCCACAUCGGGACUGAGACACGGCCCGAACUCCUACGGGAGGCAGCAGUGGGGAAUAUUGGACAAUGGGCGAAAGCCUGAUCCAGCCAUGCCGCGUGUGUGAAGAAGGCCUUCGGGUUGUAAAGCACUUUCAGUGGGGAAGAAAGCCUUGAGGCCAAUACCCUCGAGGAAGGACAUCACCCACAGAAGAAGCACCGGCUAACUCCGUGCCAGCAGCCGCGGUAAUACGGAGGGUGCAAGCGUUAAUCGGAAUUACUGGGCGUAAAGCGCGCGUAGGCGGUCUGAUAAGCCGGUUGUGAAAGCCCCGGGCUCAACCUGGGAACGGCAUCCGGAACUGUCAGGCUAGAGUGCAGGAGAGGAAGGUAGAAUUCCCGGUGUAGCGGUGAAAUGCGUAGAGAUCGGGAGGAAUACCAGUGGCGAAGGCGGCCUUCUGGACUGACACUGACGCUGAGGUGCGAAAGCGUGGGUAGCAAACAGGAUUAGAUACCCUGGUAGUCCACGCCGUAAACGAUGUCGACUAGCCGUUGGGGUCCUUGAGACCUUUGUGGCGCAGUUAACGCGAUAAGUCGACCGCCUGGGGAGUACGGCCGCAAGGUUAAAACUCAAAUGAAUUGACGGGGGCCCGCACAAGCGGUGGAGCAUGUGGUUUAAUUCGAUGCAACGCGAAGAACCUUACCUACCCUUGACAUCGUGCGAACUUUCCAGAGAUGGAUUGGUGCCUUCGGGAACGCACAGACAGGUGCUGCAUGGCUGUCGUCAGCUCGUGUUGUGAAAUGUUGGGUUAAGUCCCGUAACGAGCGCAACCCUUGUCCUUAUUUGCCAGCGCGUAAUGGCGGGAACUCUAGGGAGACUGCCGGUGACAAACCGGAGGAAGGUGGGGACGACGUCAAGUCAUCAUGGCCCUUACGGGUAGGGCUACACACGUGCUACAAUGGCCGGUACAAAGGGUUGCGAAGCCGCGAGGUGGAGCUAAUCCCGAAAAGCCGGUCUCAGUCCGGAUCGGAGUCUGCAACUCGACUCCGUGAAGUCGGAAUCGCUAGUAAUCGUGAAUCAGAAUGUCACGGUGAAUACGUUCCCGGGCCUUGUACACACCGCCCGUCACACCA